rnacentral:misc_RNA from 1 species
AGGAUGUCGUGUCUGACUGUUUUCACCCUAGUCGAGGCGCUGAUCUUCCUGGCAGGAAUUCUGUCCCCUGGAUGGGUCAGGAUCGUCCAGGAGAGUUUGGCUUAUGGCACAAACAGCACAAACUACGGACUCUUUUACUACAUGAAAUGUACGAGGGAUGGCUGUUUAGCCAACACGUUCUAUGAAGACUCGUUCAACCACUCUUACCAAGGUACAUUUGCUAUUGCAAAUUUAUUUAUUACCUGCAGAGCCACCUUAGAUAACACGUACAUAGACAGAUGGUUGUGAGAGCUUGUCGCGUUAUCUAGCGCGAGAUUAGGAGCAAAACACGUGGCGUGAGAUGAUUUAUAUCCAAGGUACAUUGCAGCGGAGUUCAACGUUGGUUUUGCGGUCAUCCUUAAUUUCUUUGCAUUCAUCACAACAAAGUGCGCAACCAGAAGAAACAGAGUUAAUACUACGAAAAACGUGCUGGAAUAUGUGUUACCUCUGUUUCUUAUGACAGGCUCGUUUUUCAUAAUGCUUACGGUCAUCGCUGAAUACGUGACCAUUUAUCUCCUGGCAAAGAAGACGACUGUCACCAGCAAUAUUGGUGUAUUCGAUCCUGUUGUAUCAAAUGUAAAGACCCCGUAUUCUUUGAUAAUCACAAGUAUCGCAAUGUUGUUCAAAUCAUCCAUCAUCGUCUAUUUAAUGGGCAAAAUUCGUAGCUUGCCCGAGGACUCGCCUGUCAACAACGAAACUUCUCCCCCUCCGUAUCAAUCAUUCAGUAACGUAGGGAGUACCCAAAAUAACCCUUACACUACAAACACAACACGGCGACCCGGUUCUCGUUCUACAACGCCAACCCCAGUGUAUUAUGGGUCAUCCGACGCAACGCAACCCCUUCUUUCUGAACCCCGAGAAGUGUUCCCAAAUUACCAUGGAAAUAACACAAUGGAGCGGCCAUUACCGAAUGCCCCAGCACAUUACAACCCGUUUGACGAAAGAUCCGACCAACCAUGAUCCACAAUUACUCCACAAAUGGUAUAGCUUAGAGACUUAUCUUUUGACGAAAGGUUCGACCCUAAGUGGAUACAAUUCUAGAGACCGUACAAGCUCACACUUAUAUAAAACUGUGCUUGGCCUUUGACGAAAGUCCGACAACUGAGAAUGUUGUAUUAAUGAUGAACAUUAUGUAUCUAUGGUUUGACGAAUGGCUCCGUCCAACAACGGUAGUAUGACAAAUUCAUAUUUAGUUUAAGUAAAUGAAGUGUAUAUAUCUCGAAUGACAACUUGCAUAAUUGACUCUGUUUUACAAACUCGCACUAUUGACUUUAUCACGAAUAAGCAAAUUUAAGCACAUUUACAAAAGAGUACGAUUUUGAUCUAAUAAUAAUCUUUGUGAUUUCUGUAAGAGAAUGUUAUCCAAUUGGAUUUUUAUAAAGAACUCAAUUUCAUCAUAAAAUAGGAACCGUUACAAGGUAAAUGUUUUGAAAUGAAUUAGGUUUAUAAAGAUAAGUUGUUGCAUCUUUACUUUGAUCGCUUUUGUUAUGUCAUUUUCUUGCCACGUGUAUCUGUUCUUUUUAUCAUGAUUUCAAGUUGGUUGUUAAGAUAAUAGCCUAUUAUUUUAAGCUUCAUAUAUUCAAAUAAUUUUUUUCUUUACUCGGAGAAUAAAGUUAUGUCUAUAUUUCG